rnacentral:rRNA from 1 species
AUUGAACGCUGGCGGCAGGCCUAACACAUGCAAGUCGAGCGGAUGAAGGGAGCUUGCUCCUGGAUUCAGCGGCGGACGGGUGAGUAAUGCCUAGGAAUCUGCCUGGUAGUGGGGGAUAACGUCCGGAAACGGGCGCUAAUACCGCAUACGUCCUGAGGGAGAAAGUGGGGGAUCUUCGGACCUCACGCUAUCAGAUGAGCCUAGGCCGGAUUAGCUAGUUGGUGGGGUAAAGGCCUACCAAGGCGACGAUCCGUAACUGGUCUGAGAGGAUGAUCAGUCACACUGGAACUGAGACACGGUCCAGACUCCUACGGGUGGCAGCAGUGGGGAAUAUUGGACAAUGGGCGAAAGCCUGAUCCAGCCAUGCCGCGUGUGUGAAGAAGGUCUUCGGAUUGUAAAGCACUUUAAGUUGGGAGGAAGGGCAGUAAGUUAAUACCUUGCUGUUUUGACGUUACCAACAGAAUAAGCACCGGCUAACUUCGUG